rnacentral:rRNA from 1 species
AGAUUGAACGCUGGCGGCAGGCCUAACACAUGCAAGUCGAGCGGUAGAGAGGUGCUUGCACCUCUUGAGAGCGGCGGACGGGUGAGUAAGGCCUAGGAAUCUGCCUGGUAGUGGGGGAUAACGCUCGGAAACGGACGCUAAUACCGCAUACGUCCUACGGGAGAAAGCAGGGGACCUUCGGGCCUUGCGCUGUCAGAUGAGCCUAGGUCGGAUUAGCUAGUUGGUGAGGUAAUGGCUCACCAAGGCGACGAUCCGUAACUGGUCUGAGAGGAUGAUCAGUCACACUGGAACUGAGACACGGUCCAGACUCCUACGGGAGGCAGCAGUGGGAAUAUGGACAGUGGGCAAAGCCUGAUCCAGCCAUGCCGCGUGUGUGAAGAAGGUCUUCGGAUUGUAAAGCACUUUAAGUGGAGAAGGCAAUAACCUAAUACGUUAGUGUUUGACGUUACGACUAGAAUAAGCACCGGCUAACUCUGU